UACGUAGGGGGCAAGCGUUGUCCGGAAUCAUUGGGCGUAAAGAGCGUGUAGGCGGCCCGAUAAGUCCGCUGUGAAAGUCCAGGGCUCAACCCUGGGAUGCCGGUGGAUACUGUCGGGCUCGAGUCCGGAAGAGGAGUGUGGAAUUCCCGGUGUAGCGGUGAAAUGCGCAGAUAUCGGGAGGAACACCCGUAGCGAAGGCGGCACUCUGGGCCGGUACUGACGCUGAGGCGCGAAAGCUAGGGGAGCGAACAGG
rnacentral:rRNA from 1 species